rnacentral:ncRNA from 1 species
AGGAGCCCGGUGAAUCGAGAGAUUCACGCCGGGAUCUGUGGGAGCCCGGAGGUGCGAUUCCUCCGGGCGACCCGAC